GAUCCUGGCUCAGGAUGAACGCUGGCGGCGUGCUUAACACAUGCAAGUCGAACGAAGCACUUUAAUUGAUUUCUUCGGAAUGAAGUUUUUGUGACUGAGUGGCGGACGGGUGAGUAACGCGUGGGUAACCUGCCUCAUACAGGGGGAUAACAGUUAGAAAUGACUGCUAAUACCGCAUAAGACCACGGAGCCGCAUGGCUCAGUGGGAAAAACUCCGGUGGUAUGAGAUGGACCCGCGU
rnacentral:rRNA from 1 species